GACGAACGCUGGCGGCGUGCUUAACACAUGCAAGUCGAGCGGUAAGGCUCCUUCGGGAGUACACGAGCGGCGAACGGGUGAGUAACACGUGAGCAAUCUGCCCUUCUCAUCGGAAUAACC
rnacentral:rRNA from 1 species